rnacentral:rRNA from 1 species
GACGAACGCUGGCGGCGUGCUUAACACAUGCAAGUCGAACGGAAAUGCCCUGCUUUUGUGGGGUGCUCGAGUGGCGAACGGGUGAGUAACACGUGAGUAACCUGCCCUUGACUUUGGGAUAACUUCAGGAAACUGGGGCUAAUGCCGGAUAGGAGCUCCUGCUGCAUGGUGGGGGUUGGAAAGUUUCGGCGGUUGGGGAUGGACUCGCGGCUUAUCAGCUUGUUGGUGGGGUAGUGGCUUACCAAGGCUUUGACGGGUAGCCGGCCUGAGAGGGUGACCGGCCACAUUGGGACUGAGAUACGGCCCAGACUCCUACGGGAGGCAGCAGUGGGGAAUAUUGCACAAUGGGCGGAAGCCUGAUGCAGCAACGCCGCGUGCGGGAUGACGGCCUUCGGGUUGUAAACCGCUUUCGCCUGUGACGAAGCGUGAGUGACGGUAAUGGGUAAAGAAGCACCGGCUAACUACGUG